AACGAACGCUGGCGGCAUGCCUAACACAUGCAAGUCGAACGAGACCUUCGGGUCUAGUGGCGCACGGGUGCGUAACGCGUGGGAACCUGCCCUUAGGUUCGGAAUAACUCCCCGAAAGGGGUGCUAAUACCGGAUAAUGUCUUCGGACCAAAGAUUUGUCGCCUUUGGAUGGGCCCGCGUUGGAUUAGCUAGUUGGUAGGGUAAAAGCCUACCAAGGCGACGAUCCAUAGCUGGUCUGAGAGGAUGAUCAGCCACACUGGGACUGAGACACGGCCCAGACUCCUACGGGAAGCAGCAGUGGGGAAUAUUGGACAAUGGGCGAAAGCCUGAUCCAGCAAUGCCGCGUGAGUGAUGAAGGCCUGAGGGUUGUAAAGCUCUUUUACCCGGGAUGAUAAUGACAGUACCGGGAGAAUAAGCUCCGGCUAACUCCGUG
rnacentral:rRNA from 1 species